GUGUCAGCAGCCGCGGUAAUACGUACUGUGCGAACGUUAUUCGGAAUCACUGGGCUUAAAGGGUGUGUAGGCGGCCAGCUAAGUAGGGUGUGAAAGGCCUUGGCCUAACCAAGGCAUUGCGCUCUAAACUGACUGGCUUGAGUGAGAUAGGGGUGUGCGGAACUUCCAGUGGAGCGGUGAAAUGUGUUGAUAUUGGAAGGAACGCCGGUGGCGAAAGCGGCACACUGGGUCUUGACUGACGCUGAGACACGAAAGCCAGGGGAGCGAACGGGAUUAGAUACCCCGGUAGUCC
rnacentral:rRNA from 1 species